AUACGAUAGAAGAACAAUGAAAGAUACGGAGUCUGUUCUGCGGCUAGGUUUAAACUUCUGACUCAUGUUUGAGUCUUUUGGUCUAUCAUCUAUUGAUGGUGACAAAGAAAGAGAAAAGGAAAAAAAGUUAAAGAAAGACAAAGAGAAAUAGAAAGAGAGAGAAAGAGAAGGAACUUCGAAAGUUAACCUUCGAUUGGUAAAAAUUCGACCGGCGAGUGGCCGGACCUUGCGCCCUGCAUAAUUCUUUCGUAAUGCGCCUGCGCGAAUAACAAAGAAAGAACAAAAUGAAAGAAAGAGGGGGAAAGAUCCGUGUAAAAUGGAGUCUAUAUACCUAGUGACGGUUACGGGUGAUCACAAACUCGUUGACAGAACGCUUGAUGGAUAUUUGCAAACGUGUUCCUUCCGAUCUUUCACAAGCUAUUAAUUCAGAAAAUAUCAAUGAUCGCGGUUUUAGAUCCAUGCUGAGGUCUAGAUAAAUGACUCGAAUGACGAUAUCAACAUGUUGUAACACGCAUCGUGUAAUCCAUAUUACGAAGAGGCGUUUUCAUAUAUUCAAAUCUAAAUGUAUUAAGAAGUUAAAAGAUUAAAUAAUUCAUAUUCACAUUAAAAA
rnacentral:lncRNA from 1 species